GCCCGGGUCCAAUGCAACGGAAAUCUGUGAACCGUGUCAGGUCGGGAACGAAGCAGCACUAAGCAGAACCUUUCGUGUGACGUUGGCAAGCCUGGGAUUU
rnacentral:SRP_RNA from 1 species